rnacentral:rRNA from 1 species
AUGAACCUACCUCCUUCGCUGGUAUCAACAACAGUACACACCUACAGUGGUCUGCUAGGCUGGGGGCCUAUUAGUUUCAUGAAAAGGGCAGACUUGGAGAAGUCUGAGCAUCUCAAGGACGAUUCUUUCACCAUCAGGUGUGAUAUCCUUGUCAUCAUGGAUUACCGUGCAGAGGAUUUGCCAGAAGACACUCCAGCAUUUGUCACUGUGGCCCCAUCUGACCUGCACCAGCACCUCGCAGAUCUCCUCAAGACUGAGAAGGGUGCCGACGUAGUCUUCGAGGUUGGUGGUCACACGUUCGCAGCACACCGCUGCGUGCUCGCUGCCCGGUCACUGGUCUUCAGUGCGGAGCUCUUUGGUGGUAUGAAGGAGGGCGACACCGCAGGUGUGGUGCGCAUAGAUGAAAUGGAGGCGCAGGUGUUCAAGGCGUUGCUCUGUUUUGCGUAUACCGAUUCCUUACCAGUGACAGAAAAAGAAGAUGAAGAUGUCAUGUGCCAGCAUCUGCUUGUUGCGGCUGACAGGUAUAACAUGGAGAGGCUAAAGACUAUUUGCGAGGAAAGGUUAUGCAAGUACAUCAAUGGAGGCUCAGUAACGACCAUCCUGACGUUAGCUGAGCAGCACCACUGUGAGGGCCUAAAGAAGGCGUGCUUAAGUUUUCUUGGCUCCCCGGCAAAUCUUAGAGCUUUGUUGGACAGCGACGGCUUCGAUCAUCUGAGCAGGAGCUGCCCUUCUGUUAUUAAGAAUCUGAUUGCCAUGUCAGCCCUUGUUUAG